CUCUUUUGGGGGGAUGGCACAUAGACACAAGAAGCCUGUGUAGACUUUGGAACAAGGGAAGAUGUUAUCUAGGAGGGUGAAGAGCUGGAGGGCUUUGCGAGUUCAUUUGAGCACAGGAGCCCAGCUGAUCCAAAAUUCUAAGAAAGAGAUACCUAAUGUGUACAUAUAUCAUUUCCUUUGUAAUCAGAAUUUAAAACAAAAACGACAACCACGAUUUCAGAAGCUUCAGUAAUGAUUCACCCAGUAUGAUGAUUCGAUAAAUAGCCUAUAUUUUUCUUCUCUCCAUGGCCAAAGAUAUUCUCAUGGUUUCUAUACACUAAUUUAGAGACUCUAUAUUUUGUAAUUUACCGCUGUAGACCAAACCCAAGGC
rnacentral:lncRNA from 1 species